rnacentral:lncRNA from 1 species
CUGCUAAUCACCCCCUCCUCCAAUUAGCACUGAGGCUCAGCACUUCCUGGUGGUUUUGGUUUCCCAUCAAUAAGACAAUUUUUGAAAGGCAAGACUCCACGGUGGCACCCAGCCCCAUGGAAGGGACAGGCAGUCCUGACUGAACAGAUGAGGACUCUAACUACGGAGAGGUGGCUGACUGGUGAGGAGAAAGCAGGAUGUACCGGACUCUCCAUCGCUGAAUUUCCCAGUAACACAUCUUGUCCUUCCACCUGAAUCUGGUUUACAAUUUAGUCCGGCAAGUCAGCUACAACUCCGCUGAGCUCAGUACCUUAGAAACUAUCUAACUAUUAGGAACGGCUAUCUGAGGAUUUCCGAGGAAGGCUGCCCUGUGGCAGGAUAAUAGAGUGAAUAAGAGAGUGAGGAAGAA